UGCUGUUCACAGCUAUCUAUUCCUUCUUUUAGCACAUGAGGGUCCAUGUUUUGGGGCAAGGGAUGUGGCCCAGAUAGCAGAGUUCUUGCCUAGGCCCAGAACUCCCUCCUGAAACUGGGCAUGAAUGCACACACCUGUGGUUCCAGCACGGGGGAUAUGCAGUAUCCAGAACUACGUUGUGAACGAACAGGGCUCUAAGAACAUUCACGCUAAUUUUCUAUCUCAUGUGAAGGAAGCUCUUGAUGAGAAACUGCAGCAGUCCCUGGACAUCUGCAGAGCUUGGAGCUUGGAAUGUCAUGCAUCUAAGCCAAAUUAUCUUGGGCCAUCUUUAGGCCCUUAAUAGUCCUUUACUGUUCCUCCUUGUGUGUGAGCUACUCUCUUUGGGACAAUGAAUGAGUCUCCAGAUCCACUUGAAAACUCCGCAUGUGGCCAGAUCUCCAUAAACAAUUUUGACCCAUUAGGGGCACAAAGGUUUCAACAGAGAAGUGAGGAGCGCACCCCGCUGAGAACGAAGGGCUGCAGAGGCUCUUGGCGGAAGCUCUCCUGGGACCUGAGCACGCAGCUGGACCUGAAGGAGAGUUAGCGCUGGCCCCGCUGGCCAGCGCAGAGCCCAGGCUCCGUGCAGAGUGCACAGUGGGCUUGCCUUCGGCCACGCACAGUUGCCUUGCUGCAUGUUACCGGGCAUCAUGGGCAUUUCGUGAGUAACCAGCCCGCGUUAGGAAGCCAUGCUUCACAGUAGACGGAUGUGACUUCAAACCACUCUAAUACUGGCUUCUGGAAAAUUUGUAUUUUUACCCAUAUUAUUCUGUUAAACAAUUGUGACAAUAUGGAGAAUAAUACCUGAAGAAAUGAAAGAGUGACUUAAUGACAUAUUACUAAUUCUAAAUUAAGUAAUCUUAAAAUUUGCGCGCGCACGCACACGCGCAUGCAAGUUUGAAACAGGGCUUCAUUAUGUAGCUGAAGACAGCCUUAUUAAACUUGUAGC